CCUACGGGAGGCAGCAGUGGGGAAUUUUGGACAAUGGGCGCAAGCCUGAUCCAGCAAUGCCGCGUGCAGGAUGAAGGCCUUCGGGUUGUAAACUGCUUUUGUACGGAACGAAAAAGUCUGCCCUAAUACGGUGGGCCCAUGACGGUACCGUAAGAAUAAGCACCGGCUAACUACGUGCCAGCAGCCGCGGUAAUACGUAGGGUGCGAGCGUUAAUCGGAAUUGCUGGGCGUAAAGCGUGCGCAGGCGGUUAUAUAAGACAGAUGUGAAAUCCCCGGGCUCAACCUGGGACCUGCAUUUGUGACUGUAUAGCUAGAGUACGGUAGAGGGGGAUGGAAUUCCGCGUGUAGCAGUGAAAUGCGUAGAUAUGCGGAGGAACACCGAUGGCGAAGGCAAUCCCCUGGACCUGUACUGACGCUCAUGCACGAAAGCGUGGGGAGCAAACAGGAUUAGAUACCCUGGUAGUCCACGCCCUAAACGAUGUCAACUGGUUGUUGGGUCUUCACUGACUCAGUAACGAAGCUAACGCGUGAAGUUGACCGCCUGGGGAGUACGGCCGCAGGUUGAAACUUAAGGAAUUGACGG
rnacentral:rRNA from 1 species